UACGUAGGGCGCAAGCGUUGUCCGGAAUUAUUGGGCGUAAAGAGCUCGUAGGCGGUCUGUCACGUCGGUUGUGAAAACACAAGGCUCAACCUUGUGCCUGCAAUCGAUACGGGCAGACUAGAGUACUGCAGGGGAGACUGGAAUUCCUGGUGUAGCGGUGGAAUGCGCAGAUAUCAGGAGGAACACCGGUGGCGAAGGCGGGUCUCUGGGCAGUAACUGACGCUGGAGGAGCGAAAGCGUGGGGAGCAAACAGG
rnacentral:rRNA from 1 species